GGAAAUCACAGAGCUCCUGUAGUGCCAACAUGUCACCUGCAGGGACAGUCUCAGGUGAGUCUGAGUUUGGAGCAGAUGUGGAAGUGGCUGACGUAGUCUAGCAGGAUCCGGACGACGCUCCCAGACAGAUGCAUGAGGCAGCAGAGGCUCAUGAACUCACAGAACUGAAGAGAGAGGAUGGACAUCAUCGUAAGCACUAGAAGCAUUGUCAUGGUGGCAAUGAAAGCACCGCUCCACCUUGUAGCCGUUGUUGAGCA